AUCAAUUUAGCAAAAAUAAGUGCGACUGAUUUAGGAUCAGUAAAUAUAAGUUAAUUUAUAUUUGAUA
rnacentral:tRNA from 1 species